UGCUAGUCUUCCACGCCUCAGGAGACAGUGUUGUCCAACAGCAGAAGCUUCAGCCGGAACACAGUGUUCAUCUUCAUGAUGACUGCGUCUCGUCCACAUUCUCAUUCAGUGUCUUUGAUCAUGACAAGAAUGGAUCAUUAAGCUUAACUGCUGUGACAACCUUUAGAAGAAGACGUUGAGAAUCCUUUCAAAUCCAGUACUGCCAGGAACAAUCUUUCAUCGGAAAAAGCCCAGGAAGCUACAGACCAAUGCAGCACAAAAUGGAGCUGACCUCAGCGUGCACCACUCUGGAGACAGGCCAUGCUCUGACUGAAAUGUGAAGGAAGCCCCUUCCCAUUCCUGUUUCCUUUGUCAUCUAAGCCUUUUGCCGAUAGUCUCUGUCUCCACAGGCUUAAGAUUUACAGAACGGCUGGGUGAGCUUUUGGGGAAAGCAGUGCUGAACUAAGGGCAGUCAUGCAACAGAGCUACAAUGGUGGUACCACAUACAGCUAACCCCUCAAGAAAGGACCCUGUGUCUGGAAAGACUGGGAAAGGCAGUGCCUUGAGCAAAUAUGGGAGAGAACCUGGGUUUCUUUUCCUGUGUGUGUGUGUGUGUGUGUGUGUCCCUUCUCUCAGAGCUUCCCAAGGGUGAUACCCUAGCAGAAUCAGCCAGGGUGUCAAAUGGCAUGAUAAGCUAAUACCCAGUAAAAACUUUGCUUUAUGGUCAAACAUUUUUUUUAUGGUUCUUACGGUCCAAAGAGAAUUGGAAUAAAUCACCGGGUAAAUUUUCUCUUUUUUCACUCUCUUCUUAGCACCAAAAGUAGUCCUGAUUACAGGAACUAUGUAGCAGCACA